UUUGCUAAAUUUCACUCUCAAAAGCAUAGCAAACUCUCUCUACUCUCAUCAAGAACAAAGAGAAUAAAAAUCCAAAACUCCUUCUUCCCCCUCUCUCUCAACCACUGUGCCACCUCACUCCGGCAUCCAGCAACCUGCGGUGUUGCCUCCUGCUCCACCGACGAACCCCCGGUCUCCCUCCAUCAUGCAACCGAUGCGCAUGCUCCCUCUAUUCUGCUGCUGUUUUUUCGCGGCGAUUCCCUCUGUCUCUCCGCCAUUUUUCGCGGCGUAACUCCCUCUGGCACCAUGCAAAUUUCCAGCAUCUCUUCCUCUUCUCUGAUUCUGGUAAGUCUUGAACCUUUAAUUGAUUAA